rnacentral:rRNA from 1 species
AGAGUUUGAUCCUGGCUCAGAUUGAACGCUGGCGGCGUGCCUAACACAUGCAAGUCGAGCGGUAACAGGUGUAGCAAUACAUGCUGACGAGCGGCGAACGGGUGAGUAAUGCUUCGGAAUCUACCCAAUGGUGGGGAAUAACCAGCCGAAAGGUUGGCUAAUACCGCAUACGUCCUACGGGAGAAAGCAGGGGAUCGUAAGACCUUGCGCCAAUGGAUGAGCCGAAGUCGGAUUAGCUAGUUGGUAGGGUAACGGCCUACCAAGGCGACGAUCCGUAGCUGGUCUGAGAGGACGACCAGCCACACUGGGACUGAGACACGGCCCAGACUCCUACGGGAGGCAGCAGUGGGGAAUAUUGGACAAUGGGGGAAACCCUGAUCCAGCGACGCCGCGUGUGUGAAGAAGGCCUGCGGGUUGUAAAGCACUUUUAGUGGGGAUGAAAAGUUCAGGGCUAACACCUCUGGAUCUUGACCUAACCCACAGAAAAAGCACCGGCUAACUCUGUGCCAGCAGCCGCGGUAAUACAGAGGGUGCAAGCGUUAAUCGGGAUUACUGGGCGUAAGCGUGCGUAGACGGUUACAUAAGUCGGGUGUGAAGCCCCGGCUCAACCUGGAAUUGCAUUCGAGACUGCGUAGCUAGGGUGCGAGAGGAAGCGGAAUUUCCGUGUAGCGUGAAUGCGUAGAUAUCGGAAGAACACAGUGCGAAGCGCUCUGGUCAGCACGACGUCAGGCACGAAGCGUGGGACCAACAGAUUAGAUACCUGUAGUC